AAUUUCAACUCCCUUCAUGGUGUUCUGCUUCCAGCAAGGCUGGGAUUUGCCUUCUUUCGUGGAAGUGUCCAUUGUCUUCAUUCAUUCACACCUGUUUCAGAAAGAAGGCAUGGCUGAAGGGAAACUGAGGCAUGGGUGACUACAGACAGAGGAUGAAAACAAAGAGUGCAGAAGAAUGAUUCAGCAUCCUUUCAGAAGUGAUUCUAUGAGCACAAAUUUAAAAACAGGUACAACAGUUUAUUUUGAAUAAGACAAUCACAGAGUCUUGGAGAAUUAAAAAACAUUUUAAGGAGAGGCGUUGUAUUUCAACUUCAGUCACCCCCACCAAAGGCAACACUUGAAACUUCACAGAAUCAUCACAGAAGCACAGAAUGGCUUGGGUUGGAAAGGUCCUCAAAGAUCAUCCAGCUCAACCCCUGUCAUUGGCAGGGUUGCCAGUUGCUUGACCAAGCGCACGUCCUUCAGUGAAAGACUUCCUAUUUAAGUGUCACAUUCACUCAACGUUACCUCACGUUUCUCUCAAAGUAAAGACGACUUAUAUUUUACAGUGAACAAAUUAUGUUUUCAUAGUAGAUUGAUCAGAAAAUGAGUUUGCAUUUCUAGCACAGUUUUGUUCUAUGUAUCCUUGAUUUCCUCAAGUUCUCUAUUUGGAGAACGGAGGAAGCCUGUGCACCCCAUCUUCUAAGCUGGCUGCAGACACAAAACACCAUUGCGUUUUCAUACCUCGCAACAUGGCUGUGAACAUGUGUUCAAUAUGCAGAGAUGCACUGUGUUGGGGCACUACCCAAAAAGUUCCACUUCCCACCUCCAAAUGCAUGAACACUCAGUAGCUUUGGGCUCUGAAAUCCUCUGUACUAUAAAGCAAUCUACUUUCAGCAGCUUGGUGUCAAUAUAUAAAACAAUGAGACAGAGUUACUGAACUUCCUUUGUUCUUAUGUAAAUAGAAACCAAUUAGUCCAAUUUGCCAAAGAACAGGAAACAUCAAGAAAUCUCAGAUGCGCAGGCAGACCCUCCAGAGUAUCUCUAGAAUCACAGCAGUGGCAAUCACCAUGCAUCACAACCUGCUGUGACCCAAGCCCAUUCAGCUCUGGUGAGAUGCUGGAGUAGCCCUGGAGGGAGAGAUCAAAUCUAUUCUGACGCAGCAGCAGAACAGAGAUAUUAUAUGGAGUUACGUACCACCUGUUCUGCUAGCUUUUUUCCUGAGUGGAUAUAGCAAAAUGUUCCAAGAUAAUGGUGUGGUUCACUUUCACCUUUCCUUCAUAACUCCACAGUGGCUUUGCAGAAGUUGGAAGUAAAACUGAAUUCCGAAUAUUUUUGGAUACACAAAAGAAAAUGUCACUGCUUAGUGGCUAAUAAAAAUAAAAGGUAUAUUUUGUACCUUAUAGUUAAAUUUAUAGUUGACUUUUUGUCUUAUCAAGAGUCUGCAUUUAGAGCAAAAGGCUGCGUUUCCAGACAGGCACAGCUCAAGCACCACUCUGACUUUUAGUCAGAUGGACUUAGGAACAUACGUACAAGAAAUCAAAGGCCAUUCAGACCUACACUGAGACUUGAACAGCAAAACACAAGACCUGAAAACUUCUCCUGCAUUAAUGAAUGCUUUCCAUAUACGAGAGCAUUCUUCAGCAAGCUCAAGUGGAUGGCUUGGUCACAGAGGUCACAUUAUCAUCUUUUGCUCAUAUGUUACAGCAGCAGAGUGAAGAAACCAAAAAGAUUUUCAUGCAGAAGACAUUUCUACAGAACUGUAAAAAGAGCAUUCAGAGAAUGGCUAGAGUCAACAGGAUUAAGGACUGUCAAGAGCAUUGCUUAGAAGUUGCAGAUGGGGAAAAAAAUGCCAACGCCUGCAUUUAUUUUGAUCAAUAGCAGCAAGAAACCUUAGAAAAUCCUUCUUUAAUCUGUGCCUGUCCUUGAAAGAAGAAAAUGCAAUAAAGGAGGAAACACUUUGCUCUUCGAAGGAGCCAUGAAAUAAUGUCUUUUAUGACUUGUUCCACCAAAGGAGAUUGCGACCUCAGUAUCUCAGAGACUGUUUUGGACACUUCAGCCUACAUAUUCUCUAAUAUUUAUAGACCAAAUCUGCAUUACACAUCUCCUGGUCUCAAAAGUCUCAAAAGUAAAAUAAAGCUCCAUAGCAC
rnacentral:lncRNA from 7 species